GUUGUGGCUCAGCGGUAGAGCACUCGCCUAGUACCGUGCAAGGUGCUGAGUUCAAUUCUCAGCACAACA
rnacentral:tRNA from 1 species